rnacentral:rRNA from 1 species
CUACGGGUCGCUCCAGUGGGGAAUAUUGGACAAUGGGGGAAACCCUGAUCCAGCAAUGCCGCGUGUGUGAAGAAGGCCUGCGGGUUGUAAAGCACUUUCGGUUGGGAGGACUGCUUCUAGCACUAAUAUUGUUGGAAGUUGACGUUACCUUCAGAAGAAGCACCGGCUAACUCCGUGCCAGCAGCCGCGGUAAUACGGAGGGUGCAUGCGUUAAUCGGAAUUACUGGGCGUAAAGCGCGCGUAGGCGGCUAGAUCAGUCGGGUGUGAAAGCCCCGGGCUUAACCUGGGAACUGCAUCCGAUACUGUCGAGCUUGAGUACAGGAGAGGAGAGUGGAAUUCCACAUGUAGCGGUGAAAUGCGUAGAUAUGUGGAGGAACACCAAUGGCGAAGGCAGCUCUCUGGCCUGAUACUGACGCUGAGGUGCGAAAGCGUGGGGAGCAAACAGGAUUAGAUACCCGAGUAGUC